GGAUGCAGGAGCCGGCUCUUCCGGGCCCCCCCUCCGAACCUGCCCUCGCUGCCAGCCUUCUCCGGGCCUUGGCUCCCACCCUUGCUGUCAUCUCUCCCAUCCCAUUGCUUUUGACACCCCCCUCCCCUUAAAAGGCAGGAGGGGCAGGAUGGGAAGGGAGAGGAGAGAACCACCCGCAGCAGGGCAUUUUUUACAAGGUUGGCCUUGAGCGAGCUUUUAAUUCUUUUUCCCUAAGACCCAGACUGGCUUUUCCCGUUUCGCUGGCAAAGAUUGUCACGGAGAGGACCUGCAGGGAGGAGGAAAUGGAAACCUGGGGAAAAUCAGCUGAAUGUGGAAACAAUGGGAGGAGGGCGUGAGGCACAAAGGCCUCAGGGUGCAACUGCCAGGCCACCGCCAACCUAAUUCCACCCUGCGUUUCCCUAGAGCCAGGAGCUUCCUCUGACUUUCAGAUCCUCUCAGAUGAUUCCAGGGGAAAACCCGGCGUCUGCUAUAACCUGGAUGAAUAAGUCCGCUGUCCCCUUAAGGAAGGAAAUCUGCCAGUAAUAUUCCCCCAAGGAAGCUCAUCCAUUUUGACUGUUGCCUGCAUGUUCAUUCUUGCUGUUGACUGUUGACAAAUUGGGAAAUGACUCUGCCAACCCAGGUGUUCUUGAGAGGCCAGACCUCAGCAAAGGAUCAAGAAAACGAGCAUCCACCCGUGAUCUCUCACCUGUUUCUUCAAGGGUGGGGUUGCAAGCUUGGGCAAGUGUGAUUCACUCCCCUUCUGCAUGAGGAAAGGGGAUCUAAUAGGGCAGCCGCCAGCUCUAUCUGAUGAAUCAGAAUCGCUGGGGCAGGGCUCUGGCAGCUAUAUUUUUUUAUCUGCUCCCCCCCACAAACACCUGGGUAGUUCUGAGGCACACAGCUUUGCCAACUGCUUCCCUCUCCAAUUCGAAUUUAUACCCCCUGAAACUUAGCUUCACUAGUAGAGGACCGGUUUCCUAAUGGGACUGUUGACAGGAUGACACAUACCUAUGAAGUUGUGGUUGGCAGAAUACUGCCUCCCCAAAGAUGUUCAUGUUCUGGUUCCUGGAAUCUGUGCAUGUUAUCCUACAUGGCAAAAAGAGUUUUGCAGAUUAAGCUAAAAGAAUUUGAGAUGGGUGCCCCCCGAAUAUCCAGGUGGGCCUAAUCUAAUCACAUGAUCCCUUAAAAGAGGAGAACCUUCAGAGGGAGAUGUGACUACAGAACAGUCAGAGAGAUGGAAUGCUGCUGGCUUUGAAGAUGUGAGAAGGGGUCACAGCCAAGGAAUGUGGGCGGCCUCUUGAAGGUGAAAAAGAGCUUUCAGAAAGGAAUACAGCCCUACCAACAUCUUUUUUUUUUUUUUAACAUUUUUAUUGGAGUAUAAUUGCUUUACAAUGGUGUGUUAGUUUCUGCUUUAUAACAAAGCGAAUCAGUUAUACAUAUACAUAUGUUCCCGUAUCUCUUCCCUCUUGCAUCUCCCUCCCUCCCACCCUCACUAUCCCACACCUCUAGGUGGUCACAAAGCACACAGCUGAUCUCCCUGUGCUAUGCGGUUGCUUCCCACUAGCUAUCUAUUUUACGUUUGGUAGUGUAUACAUGUCUAUGCCGCUCUCUCACUUUGUCACAUCUUACCCUUCCCGCUCCCCAUAUCCUCACACACAGACCUACCAACAUCUUGAUUUUAGCCUAGUGACACCUUGGUAGUACUUCUGAUCUCCGGAACUAUAAGAUAAUAAAUUUGUGUUGUUUGAAGUCC